rnacentral:rRNA from 1 species
AGGGAAUCUUCCACAAUGGACGCAAGUCUGAUGGAGCAACGCCGCGUGAGUGAAGAAGGUUUUCGGACCGUAAAGCUCUGUUGUUGGUGAAGAAGGAUAGAGGUAGUAACUGGCCUUUAUUUGACGGUAAUCAACCAGAAAGUCACGGCUAACUACGUGCCAGCAGCCGCGGUAAUACGUAGGUGGCAAGCGUUGUCCGGAUUUAUUGGGCGUAAAGCGAGCGCAGGCGGAAGAAUAAGUCUGAUGUGAAAGCCCUCGGCUUAACCGAGGAAUUGCAUCGGAAACUGUUUUCUUGAGUGCAGAAGAGGAGAGUAGAACUCCAUGUGUAGCGGUGGAAUGCGUAGAUAUAUGGAAGAAUACCAGUGGCGAAGGCGGCUCUCUGGUCUGCAACUGACGCUGAGGCUCGAAAGCAUGGGUAGCGAACAGGAUUAGAUACCCUGGUAGUCCAUGCCGUAAACGAUGAGUGCUAAGUGUUGGGAGGCUUCCGCCUCUCAGUGCUGCAGCUAACGCAUUAAGCACUCCGCCUGGGGGAGUACGACCGCAAGGUUG